rnacentral:rRNA from 1 species
AACGAACGCUGGCGGCAGGCCUAACACAUGCAAGUCGAGCGCCCAGCAAUGGGAGCGGCAGACGGGUGAGUAACGCGUGGGAACCUUCCCAAUGGUACGGAAUAGCUCAGGGAAACUUGAGGUAAUACCGAAUAAGCCCGAAAGGGGAAAGGAUUUAUCGCCAUUGGAUGGGCCCGCGUAGGAUUAGCUAGUUGGUGAGGUAAUGGCUCACCAAGGCGACGAUCCUUAGCUGGUUUGAGAGAAUGACCAGCCACACUGGGACUGAGACACGGCCCAGACUCCUACGGGAGGCAGCAGUGGGGAAGUCUUGGACAAUGGGCGCAAGCCUGAUCCAGCCAUGCCGCGUGAGUGACGAAGGUCUUCGGAUUGUAAAGCUCUUUUGCCAGGGACGAUAAUGACGGUACCUGGAGAAUAAGCCCC